AACGAACGCUGGCGGCAGGCUUAACACAUGCAAGUCGAGCGCCCCGCAAGGGGAGCGGCAGACGGGUGAGUAACGCGUGGGAAUCUACCCAAUACUACGGAAUAGCUCCGGGAAACUGGAAUUAAUACCGUAUGUGCCCUACGGGGGAAAGAUUUAUCGGUAUUGGAUGAGCCCGCGUUGGAUUAGCUAGUUGGUGAGGUAAUGGCUCACCAAGGCGACGAUCCAUAGCUGGUCUGAGAGGAUGAUCAGCCACACUGGGACUGAGACACGGCCCAGACUCCUACGGGAGGCAGCAGUGGGGAAUAUUGGACAAUGGGCGAAAGCCUGAUCCAGCCAUGCCGCGUGAGUGAUGAAGGCCUUAGGGUUGUAAAGCUCUUUCACCGAUGAAGAUAAUGACGGUAGUCGGAGAAGAAGCCCCGGCUAACUUCGUGCCAGCCGCCGCGGUAACAC
rnacentral:rRNA from 1 species